rnacentral:rRNA from 1 species
UACGUAGGGGGCAAGCGUUGUCCGGAAUCAUUGGGCGUAAAGCGCGUGUAGGCGGUCCGGUAAGUCCGCUGUGAAAGUCCAGGGCUCAACCCUGGGAUGCCGGUGGAUACUGUCGGGCUAGAGUGCGGAAGAGGCGAGUGGAAUUCCUGGUGUAGCGGUGAAAUGCGCAGAUAUCAGGAGGAACACCAAUUGCGAAGGCAGCUCGCUGGGACGUAACUGACGCUGGAGACGCGAAAGCGUGGGGAGCAAACAGG